rnacentral:rRNA from 1 species
UGGGGAAUUUUGCACAAUGGGGGGAACCUUGAUGCAGCGACGCCGCGUGAGGGAUGGAGGCCUUCGGGUUGUGAACCUCUUUCGCUCGUGUGCAAGCCGCUAUUUGGGUAGUGGUGAGUGUAGCGGGUAAAGAAGCGCCGGCUAACUACGUGCCAGCAGCCGCGGUAAUACGUAGGGCGCGAGCGUUGUCCGGAUUUAUUGGGCGUAAAGGGCUUGUAGGCGGUUUGUCGCGCCUGUCGUGUAAUCCUCUGGCUUAACUGGGGGUGUGCGGUGGGUACGGGCAGGCUUGAGUGCGGUAGGGGAGAUUGGAAUUCCUGGUGUAGCGGUGGAAUGCGCAGAUAUCAGGAGGAACAACGGAGGCGAAGGCGGGUCUCUGGGCCGUUACUGACGCUGAGGAGCGAAAGCGUGGGGAGCGAACAGG